rnacentral:rRNA from 1 species
UUGAACGCUGGCGGAAUGCUUUACACAUGCAAGUCGAACGGCAGCACGGGAGCAAUCUUGGUGGCGAGUGGCGAACGGGUGAGUAAUGUAUCGGAACGUACCUUUCAGUGGGGGAUAACGUAGCGAAAGUUACGCUAAUACCGCAUAUUCUGUGAGCAGGAAAGCAGGGGAUCGCAAGACCUUGCGCUGAUUGAGCGGCCGAUAUCAGAUUAGCUAGUUGGUGAGGUAAAGGCUCACCAAGGCGACGAUCUGUAGCGGGUCUGAGAGGAUGAUCCGCCACACUGGAACUGAGACACGGUCCAGACUCCUACGGGAGGCAGCAGUGAGGAAUAUUGCACAAUGGGGGAAACCCUGAUGCAGCAACGCCGCGUGGAGGAUGACGCAUUUCGGUGU